rnacentral:rRNA from 1 species
UAGGGAAUCUUCCACAAUGGACGCAAGUCUGAUGGAGCAACGCCGCGUGAGUGAAGAAGGUUUUCGGAUCGUAAAGCUCUGUUGUUGGUGAAGAAGGAUAGAGGUAGUAACUGGCCUUUAUUUGACGGUAAUCAACCAGAAAGUCACGGCUAACUACGUGCCAGCAGCCGCGGUAAUACGUAGGUGGCAAGCGUUGUCCGGAUUUAUUGGGCGUAAAGCGAGCGCAGGCGGAAGAAUAAGUCUGAUGUGAAAGCCCUCGGCUUAACCGAGGAACUGCAUCGGAAACUGUUUUUCUUGAGUGCAGAAGAGGAGAGUGGAAGUCCAUGUGUAGCGGUGGAAUGCGUAGAUAUAUGGAAGAACACCAGUGGCGAAGGCGACUCUCUGGUCUGCAACUGACGCUGAGGCUCGAAAGCAUGGGUAGCGAACAGG